CCGCAACGAGCGCAACCCUCGUUCUAUGUUGCCAGCACGUAAUGGUGGGAACUCAUGGGAUGCUGCCGGGGUCAACUCGGAGGAAGGUGGGGAUGACGUCAAAUCAUCAUGCCCCUUAUGUCUUGGGCUUCACGCAUGCUACAAUGGCCGGUACAAAGGGCUGCAAUACCGUGAGGUGGAGCGAAUCCCAAAAAGCCGGUCCCAGUUCGGAUUGAGGUCUGCAACUCGACCUCAUGAAGUCGGAGUCGCUAGUAAUCGCAGAUCAGCAACGCUGCGGUGAAUACGUUCCCGGGUCUUGUACACACCGCCCGUCAAGUCAUGAAAGUCGGUAACACCUGAAGCCGGUGGCCCAACCCUUGUGGAGGGAGCCUCGAGGGUCGAUAG
rnacentral:rRNA from 1 species